GACGUAGGGCGCGAGCGUUGUCCGGAUUUAUUGGGCGUAAAGAGCUCGUAGGCGGCUUGUCGCGUCGUCCGUGAAAACCUGCAGCUCAACUGCGGGCCUGCAGCCGAUACGGGCAGGCUAGAGUUCGGUAGGGGAGACUGGAAUUCCUGGGUGUAGCGGUGAAAUGCGCAGAUAAUCUGGAGGAACACCGGUGGCGAAGGCGGCGUCCUGGACCAACACUGACACUGAUGAGCGAAAGCCAGGGGAGCAAACGGG
rnacentral:rRNA from 1 species